UACCUACCUACCUACCAGACAAGAAAAGUGC
rnacentral:piRNA from 1 species